CGUAUCUAGCCGAAGGUCGUGGGUUCGAAUCCCGCUCGUGACACUGACUUUUUUAUCUCAACUAAAGCCUUAAUUCGUUGGAAGUUAUAAUUAUGUUAAGUGUGGUUUAAUAUCUCAUCACCGACGUUCUAUGUUACUUGAGUUUCUUGUUUUUGUAUACCAGAAGAAAUUUGAGUGAAAAGAGCGGUAAAUCCUCUCUAUUGGCAAUAUGAUAUCGAUCUCGUGGUGCAUGCAGAGACGUGGAAGAUUUUCCAUCUGAGAUUAAUAACGGCGUGAUAAAGAUCGCUGAAGAUGGAAGAAUGAAACGUGAGCGCGGUUAUCAAACGAGUGGGCUCCGUUUGAUAAUCCGGGAGCGAGCUGAGUGUGAUCUGGCACUGAUGCCUGGGAUUUCGCAAGGCAUGGACAUUGAAGGAAUACCGGGGAAAAAGCGAUUUAUCACAAACGGCACUUUUAAAACAGCCGAACGGAUGAAGAAAAAAUCGACGAUUCCGCGGGAAUCAAUUUAAAGGGAAAGGAUUCGAAAUACGGCGUGCUACGGCCUCUUAUUAAGUACAACUGGAUUGCCUGGGUAACAAGUUGAAAGACUCCCAAUUAUUCUUUUAGGUAAAAACAAUAAAAAAAACAGCGUUCUUUGUUAAAUUCACAAAAGUGUUAAAAAACAGUUACAAGAGACGCAAACUAAAAUAUAUUGCUUUCUCUAAACCUUCUAAUAGAGAAAUAUUAUUACUUGAAGAUCAUCCAAUCUUGUAAGUUUCUUACUUAAAAUAUGCCUUAUAUCAGCAACUAUAUAAAAGUUAAUAUUCAAAAAAUACUAUAUAUCGGGGCUUCCCAAGCUGUGGUCCGCUUCGAUAUUCGAGAAAAAGUAAUAAUUACAAAAAUAAACGUCGAAUGAAUAAGUAAAAUUAAAAAAACCCUAAUAACAAUGAGUACUGAAAACGAAAGUUUUUAUUUUGCAGUAGCAGUGUUCUCACAGACCUGCUUUAGCUAUGAGACAAAGCUUCACCAUACAGGCCACCAUAGGCACAAGUCAGUGCGAAAGCACUUUUACGAUUGCAGGAAUUACGUUCUGCAGUCUUGUCUCUGUUGAUAUACCACAAUUUCUAAUUGGCCAACGUUUUCAAUUAUUAGCUAUUACAUCAGUUAAUAUGGCUAGCUGAGAACUAGAAGAGUGACAUUAAUGGAAGCAUGAUGAGCCGGAGAUGAAUGUUUACCGGCUUUUAGUAUAACCAACUUUGGCAAAUUCCAGAUUGUCUCAUACACAAGCAUUUGGUUAACAAGUUUGGUCACAUAAUAUUUCCACAGGAGGGAUUUUGCCUUCGAACAGCGGCCGUUUGAAGAGUCGUUGAUGUAUUGUCAGUUUUGAACAAAGGCGGAACAACGGUGUAUUGAAUUAAUUGUUGAAAAGCAAUCAAUGGGAGGAUAGAGUUCUUAUUUAUUUGCCAGUCACUUUACGAUCCUCGUUCACAAAGGGAUGAAAGGGGUUUCGAAGGUGGAAUUUCGGUGGAGUGUCCAUUAAACGUUUUAACAGAGGUUUCAUUUAUUCAUAAAUGAUCCCAAGCCGAGGGAACUUUAAGACAUUCUAAAAAGGUAGAAUCUUGAAUAAUCCUUCUCUAUAAUGCCAUUUGGAGAUUUUGUGUAAGGGGUUAUGCAUUAUAUAAAGCAAAUUUAUUUUGUGUUGUAGAAAUAAGGACUUGUUUUGAGAUAUCGAGCUAAAAACUUAACUUUUUUUAUCAUUUAAAUCAAUUUUCCCUGAUAAAAUUUCUGUUUUACCGAGAAACUGGAAAUUCAUCUAUAAACUAAACUGUAGUUAAGAUUUAUCAUAGUUAAUGAGCUUAUUAGUUACAUUUUAUUAUUAUUAUUAUUUUAUUUGUACCCUACAGAUAUUAUAUAUUAAUACCAGCACUGCACCCGCAGUACACAUGCCAUGAGAAACCAGCUAAUGCUGGCACUCUGUGUGAGGGAUAGGGACAAGAAGGUCCCGAGGCCAUCGUCGAUUAAAGGGAACAUGGCGUGUUCUCGGGAUGGGAUUUUGUAGAAAGGGCUUAAGAAGUAGGGUUAGGAUGGAUGGAAAAGAGGUUGAUGUGAAGCAUUUAGAAUCGGGUACAGAUCUAUCCUUUGACAAAAGGAAUGAUGAGGUCGUUGUGGAUUGUGAGGUGAGUGACGCAGUAAGGAGAUUUUACAAUUUAUCUGAGGACGUUUGAUUGGAAGGAUUGGAUGCUCUGGAUGUUGGAAGGCUAGGCAGAACCCGAUAGUUUCACUUAGUAUGCUCAAAGUGGUUAUAAGAUUAGGCUAUUUUUGAUGGGGCAGGUUAAAUUUCAGUCCUAGAUGUCUUCAUAGUUGUUCAAGUUUUCUGUUAAAUUUUUGUCUUUUACAUAUUCUAGUACAUCGUAGUGUAGACGUAGUUAGUGUGCAGUGACGUUUUUUUAACCCCACGGGGAAUUCAUUAAAGGAUUCGUGGUCAGAAGGAUGCCUUGAUCUCUCCCAGGCGACUCAGGCCUGGCAUUUUACGUACAGCAGGGUUCGCAAUGUGUGAUGGGUGAGGUUUGGGAGUUUUAGGAGCCCUGACGAGUUGUGCCAACCUGACUGCUGGGUAGCAGUAGCCAGGAUAUUCACAGAAUCGCCGCUCAUCUGGGGUUUAAGGAUAUGCUGAGGUCCGUGCCAAUUUAUAGGACAAGUCACUAGAGAUUCGGGAUUUGGCUUAGGAAUUGGAAUGACGGAUAUGGUUACAAGAAUACUACGGUCUGAGUAGAGAUCGUGGAGAGGUCCGAUGUUUCUUGAGAUGAAGAACCGAUGAGAACAGGGAGGCUGUUCACAUCAAAUGACCAAUUCGUAGGAAUAGAAUACAGAUGGAAAUUUCUUUACCUCUGCUAUCCAGUGCGCUGUCAGGAUGGCACAACGCGCCAGGCCUCUUAAAACCCCCAACUAUCCAAAUCCUUCCAUCAAUCCUUUAAUAAAUUAUCCCGUUUGACUGAAAAAGAAUUAAUAAUCCACCGCAACAAUGGUUUUGACUCCUAACUAUCCAAACUAAUAAAACUAACAUUUCAAACUUUCUCUAUCUAUAGUAAUAAGAAAUUUAUGUAAUAAUACGUAAUAUUUGAUGAAAUAACUGCAUUUUCUAGUCGCAUUAAGAGUGAAAUAAUAAAAUGUUUGAAAUAAUGAUUGAAAUA